AACCUUGAUAGAGCUAUGUACUUUAUUAGUGUACUUUAAGUAUUAACAAGAACUUUUAUUGUUUUAGAAUUACAAUGGUAAGACAUCUUCAUUGCAGAAAGUAUGUCAAAUGCAGUUGCUCUGGUUCCUGUUUAACUUGCCUUGACUCCAGGGAAGAAAAAGAUACCUCAAGAAGCUUGAUCUUACUAAGUUCAUUGACUAAAAUUCUCUGCUUGCUUUGCUUCCAUUCAUCCACCCAACCCCAUACAACAAACACAAAUGAGUUGAUGAGAAACAUUUUUGGAUAUUAACCUUUUUGAAAGCAGUAGAUUGAAGGAAUCCAUAUUAAGCUUCUAACAGAAUAAGCAGAAAAAACGGAGAAAUAGUCUCAUAUCUGUGGAAGCACAAGAAAACUUUGGUUAUGCUCACAUGAAGAAAAUAUUUAUUUAGGCUUCAAUUAAGGGACAAUAUAUAGAGAAAGAUGGUCAUAUUGCUAACUUCAUUUCUAAGAAUUUAUUUUAAGAGAAUAAAUGAAACAGUACACAAG